rfam:Pan troglodytes isolate Yerkes chimp pedigree #C0471 (Clint) chromosome 3, whole genome shotgun sequence.
GCCAGGUGUGGUGGCAUGCACCUGUAGUCUCAGCUGCUUGAGAGGCUGAGGCGGGAGGAUUGCUUGAGCCCAGGAGGUUGAGACUGCAGUGAGUUUGUUUGUACCACUGCACUCUAGCCUGGGCGACAGAGCAAGACUCCGUCUCAA